rnacentral:rRNA from 1 species
AUGUUAGCGGCGGACGGGUGAGUAACACGUGGGUAACCUACCUAUAAGACUGGGAUAACUCCGGGAAACCGGGGCUAAUACCGGAUAAUAUUUUGAACCGCAUGGUUCAAUAGUGAAAGACGGUUUCGGCUGUCACUUAUAGAUGGACCCGCGCCGUAUUAGCUAGUUGGUAAGGUAACGGCUUACCAAGGCGACGAUACGUAGCCGACCUGAGAGGGUGAUCGGCCACACUGGAACUGAGACACGGUCCAGACUCCUACGGGAGGCAGCAGCU